rnacentral:rRNA from 1 species
UACAGAGGCCUCGAGCGUUAGGCGGAAUCACUGGGCUUAAAGGGCGCGUAGGCGGCCCCGUGCGUCACGCGUGAAAGCUCCCGGCUCACCUGGGAGAGGUCGUGUGAUACGGCGGGGCUCGAGCGAGGUAGGGGGCCAUGGAGUUCCCGGUGUAGUGGUGGAAUGCGUAGAGAUCGGGAGGAACACCCGUGGCGAAGGCGAUGGCCUGGACCGAUGCUGACGCUGAGGCGCGAAAGCGUGGGGAGCGAUCCGG